rnacentral:rRNA from 1 species
GUGCCAGCAGCCGCGGUAAGACAGAGGGUGCAAACGUUGUUCGGAUUCACUGGGCUUAAAGGGCGCGUAGGCGGGUGUUUAGGUCCGGGGUGAAAGCCCCCAGCUCAACUGGGGAAUGGCCUUGGAUACCGGACACCUCGAGUGAGGUAGGGGCAGAUGGAACUUCCGGUGGAGCGGUGAAAUGCGUAGAUAUCGGAAGGAACGCCGGUGGCGAAAGCGAUCUGCUGGACCUCUUCUGACGCUGAGGCGCGAAAGCCAGGGGAGCAAACGGGAUUAGAUACCCCGGUAGUCC